UUCCGGUUGAUCCUGCCGGAGGCGACCGCUUUGGGAGUUCGAUUAAGCCAUGCGAGUCGUGAGUCUUAGGGACUCGGCAUACUGUUCAGUAACACGUGGAUAACCUGCCCUAUCGUCUGGAAUAACCUCGGGAAACUGAGAAUAAGGCCGGAUAGUUCACAAUGCCUGGAACGGUUUGUGAAUCAAGGUAGGAUGGGUCUGCGGCGUAUCAGGUUGUAGGGGGUGUAAAGGACCCCCUAGCCUUCGACGCGUACGGGUGUUGGGAGACAUAGCCCGGAGAUGGAUUCUGAGACACGAAUCCAGACCCUACGGGGUGCAGCAGGCGCGAAAACUUCACACUGCAGGAAACUGUGAUGAGGGAACUCCUAGUGCAUGCACUAUGUGUAUGUAAAUCCUACUCUUAACAAGUAGAGGGAAAGGGCUGGGAAAGACCGGUGCCAGCCGCCGCGGUAAUACCGGCAGCUCAAGUGGUCGUCGCUUUUAUUGGGCCUAAAACGUCCGUAGCCUGUUUGGUAAAUCUGUGGGUAAAUCAAUCCGCUCAACGGAUUGAAUUCUGCAGAGACUGCCAGACUAGGGACCGGGAGAGGUGUGGGGUACUCGAGGGGUAGGGGUAAAAUCCUGUCAUCCUUCGAGGACCACCAGUUGCGAAGGCGCCACACUGGAACGGAUCCGACGGUCAGGGACGAAGCCUAGGGGCACGAACCGGAUUAGAUACCCGGGUAGUCCUAGGUGUAAACGCUGUGAACUUGGUGUCGGGGGUCCGCAAGGGGUCCCCGGUGCCGGAGUGAAGAUGUUAAGUUCACUGCCUGGGGAGUACGGUCGCAGGGCUGAAACUUAAAGGAAUUGGCGGGGCAGCAC
rnacentral:rRNA from 1 species